AUGGCUCAGGAUGAACGCUAGCGGCAGGCUUAACACAUGCAAGUCGAGGGGCAUCGGGAGUAGCAAUACUGCCGGCGACCGGCGCAAGGGUGCGUAACGCGUGAGCAACAUGCCCGUAUCAGGGGGAUAAUCCAUGGAAACGUGGUCUAAUACCCCAUAGUAAUUAUGUAAGGCAUCUUAUAUAAUUUAAAGCUUUGGUGGAUACGGAUUGGCUCGCGUGACAUUAGCUGGAUGGUAAGGUAACGGCUUACCAUGGCUACGAUGUCUAGGGGUUCUGAGAGGAAGGUCCCCCACACUGGAACUGAGACACGGUCCAGACUCCUACGGGAGGCAGCAGUGAGGAAUAUUGGACAAUGGAUGGAAAUCUGAUCCAGCCAUGCCGCGUGCAAGGAAGACGGCCCUAUGGGUUGUAAACUGCUUUUGUAUGGGAGCAAUAAGGGCUACGUGUAGUCCGAUGAGAGUACCAUACGAAUAAGCACCGGCUAACUCCGUGCCAGCAGCCGC
rnacentral:rRNA from 1 species